rnacentral:lncRNA from 1 species
UGCUAGUGUCCCAGCUAUCCUGGAAAACACUGGUUGAGACUUCAUUUGUGCACACUCAUGGGUGCACAGGCCAGGUGGUCACGGGUGCACAAGAGCUCUCUUCCCACCCCCUAGUGCCCAGGCCCAGCCAUGCUGCUCUGUGCUCUUGGAGGAGACCGAGGACAAGGGAAGCUGCUGCUCAUGCUGUUGACCCCAGCUCUGGUAAAGGAUCUGGCGGCAGCUCCCUGACUUCCCUUAAUGGAGGUGGAGGUGAGCUCGAGCUUCAGGGAGCCUUGGGCUGUGGAAGUUGUGUGGCUCCGACACCCACCUAUGGAGAAGGAUCUGGGUGCCCCUGGUCACCAGGUGGCCACUUCAUAAAUGGCGGCCUGACAUCCAGGAGGAAGCCAAUCCUUCUCAGGUCUGGACUUGUCAGUCAGAAGGAAUACCCUGACCCCAGCCACCAAGCAAUAAAGCAGGCCAGGCCUUGUGGGAGGUCACAUGCUUAUGUUCUAGCCAGAAACCCUACUGAGGACCCAGCCAACAACUGGCAUGAACCCCAGAAGAACCUCAAGAUUCCUGCAGCCCCAACCACUGUCUGAUGUAGCAUUAGAAUUAAAGGCGAACAUAGCCUAUUGGUGACUGAACAGUUGGACCCUUGCCUGGUGUGGAAGUUCCCACAGUUGGUAUCAAAAGAGCUGUGAGCAGAGGGACAGUUUUGCUGGAGUCACCUUGGUCACCCACGCCUCCCCAUGGAGGUGGGGGGGACACUUGCUUGCUGCCACCCCAAGCUGCAUGAAAAUGCUUCAAUGAACAGGCCUCUGCCUAAUGUGAGUCAGAAGCUGUCAAGUCGUUUCUCCUUUUUCUUCCCUUUGUCCUCCUUCACGUUAUUCUCUUUUCUGGAAAAUGAAAGAGUAGUUCCUGUACAUCAGUAUUUAAGAGAGGCUGCGACCCAGACCUUGCUUCAACGCUGUUUUAGCGGAUUCCCUAGGCUCAGGUACAUAGCACUUUAACAUAGUGUAGUAGAGGCAAUUUGCAUCUGUAUUUCUUUUGUCCCUGGAGAUGUUGAAGAGAAUUUAAGAAACUUAAAUUUCCAGGUCGGGGACACUUGAGUGGCUUAGUUGGUUAAGAUCUGCCUUCAGCCUCAGGUCAUGAUCUCAGGGUCCUGGGAUCGAGCCCUGUAUCAGGCUCUCUGCUCAGUGGAGAGCCUGCUUCUCCCUCUCUGUUUUCUCUCUCUGUCUCUCUCAAAUAAAUAAAAUCUUAAAAAAAAUAUUUCCA